rnacentral:rRNA from 1 species
CCUACGGGACGCAGCAGUGAGGAAUAUUGGUCAAUGGCCGGAAGGCUGAACCAGCCAAGCCGCGUGAGGGAGGAAGGCGCAGAGCGUCGCAGACCUCUUUUGCCGGGGGACAAAAGGCCGGACUCGUCCGGUCCUGAGGGUACCCGGAGAAAAAGCAUCGGCUAACUCCGUGCCAGCAGCCGCGGUAAUACGGAGGAUGCGAGCGUUAUCCGGAUUUAUUGGGUUUAAAGGGUGCGCAGGCGGUCUGUUAAGUCAGCGGUCAAAGCCCGGGGCUCAACCCCGGCCCGCCGUUGAAACUGGCAGUC